GUAGGGAAUAUUGGGCAAUGGUCGGAAGACUGACCCAGCCAUGCCGCGUGCAGGAAGACGGCCCUCUGGGUUGUAAACUGCUUUUAUCUGGGAAGAAAAAGGCCAUGCGUGGCAAAUUGCCGGUACCAGAUGAAUAAGCACCGGCUAACUCCGUGCCAGCAGCCGCGGUAAUACGGAGGGUGCGAGCGUUGUCCGGCUUUAUUGGGUUUAAAGGGUGCGUAGGCGGCUGAUUAAGUCAGCGGUGAAAGACUUCGGCUUAACCGGAGCAGUGCCGUUGAUACUGGUUGGCUUGAGUGUCGGAAGAGUACAUGGAAUUGAUGGUGUAGCGGUGAAAUGCAUAGAUACCAUCAGGAACACCGAUAGCGAAGGCAUUGUACUGGCCGACAACUGACGCUGAUGCACGAAAGGGUGGGGAUCGAACAGGAUUAGAAACCCGGGUAGUCC
rnacentral:rRNA from 1 species